CAUGGCUCAGGAUGAACGCUAGCGGCAGGCCUAACACAUGCAAGUCGAGGGGCAGCAUGGUCUUAGCUUGCUAAGACUGAUGGCGACCGGCGCACGGGUGCGUAACGCGUAUGCAACUUGCCUCACAGAGGGGGAUAACCCGUCGAAAGACGGACUAAUACCGCGUACACUCCAGUCUGGGCAUCCAGGUUAGAGGAAAUGAAUUUCGCUGUGAGAUAGGCAUGCGUCCCAUUAGCUAGUUGGUGAGGUAACGGCUCACCAAGGCGACGAUGGGUAGGGGAACUGAGAGGUUGAACCCCCACACUGGUACUGAGACACGGACCAGACUCCUACGG
rnacentral:rRNA from 1 species